CAUGAAGCUGGAAUCGCUAGUAAUCGCGGAUCAGAAUGCCGCGGUGAAUACGUUCCCGGGUCUUGUACACACCGCCCGUCACACCAUGGGAGGUCGGAAAUGCCCGAAGUCUGUGACCGAACCGAGAGGGAGGAGCAGCCGAAGGCAGGUCGGAUGACUGGGGUGAAGUCGUAACAAGGUACC
rnacentral:rRNA from 1 species